rnacentral:rRNA from 1 species
CCCUUAGAUGUUCUGGGCCGCACGCGCGCUACACUGACGAAUGCAACGAGCUUAUAACCUUGGCCGAAAGGUCUGGGUAAUCUCCAAAUUUCGUCGUGAUGGGGAUAGAUUAUUGCAAUUAUUAAUCUUCAACGAGGAAUGCCUAGUAAGCGCAAGUCAUCAGCUUGCGUUGAUUACGUCCCUGCCCUUUGUACACACCGCCCGUCGCUCCUACCGACUGAAUGGUCCGGUGAAGCGUUCGGACCGUGGCCUUUGGACGGUUCGCCGUCUGUUGGCUGCGGGAAGUUCGUUAAACCUUAUCAUUUAGAGGAAGGAGAAGUCGUANCA